ACAUGAUUUGCAUAAUUAUAUGCAAUGUAAACCGCCGAAGAGACUCCUUAGAACAGUCACUUCACUCCUUUUUUCUACCUUUUUACUCCAAUCGAGAAAACCCUUCAUACUCUCUAGUAGCCUUUUUAAUUAUCCCUCUAACACUCUUCAUCACUUCAUCACCAUCUCUUAGACACUCAUCUACUAUGGCUAAAGCUAAAACCUUCUCCUCUUCCAAACGUCGUAGCCGUUGUUUCUAAAAGAACCAAACCCCUGAAGAAAUAGUUGAUCUAAAAUCAUCCUUUGACUCUGAUCCUCUCAAAACCGACAAUGGAAGCAGUAACUCCUCUGAAGAUCAAGUUUUGAGCCAGAAAAGAGCUGGUAAAAGACCCGUGGACCAAACCCCAAAAAGGUCUGUAUGCAAAAAGGGAGUAUUGGAGAGUAAUGAUUUUGGGCUUGAAGACAAGAUAAUCUUCUAUGGACCACCGGAGAUCAAAGUUUGAAUCUUACAAAUCAAAGUCCAUGGCAUAUGGUUGUAUGGGGAGAGAAAAGAAAAAGGCAAAAAGUUAGGGAAGCACAAAUUCAACAACACGAGGGAAGCACCAAACCUACAGGGAAGUAUCAUCUAUAUUAUUACUCUUUUUGGUUGUCAUCAUAAAAAAAGGAGAGAUUGUUACACUUUGAGUUUCAAUGAUGACACUCUCAAUAAUAGAAAUACUCAUCUCAUUCAAAUCUGUGCAGGAAAAUAAAAAGGAAAGAAAUGCAAGUGAUGCAACUCGUCCGUCUAGAUUAAGAAAUCAAGACAAGAAGAAGAGCAAACUAAUGUACAAGAUCUGAGAUCAUAGGGCAAUCAAAAGUGCAUUAAUCAGACAACUCAGCAGAAGAAAGAUGCAUUUACUAACGGAAAAAGAUCGAAUGAUCAACUCUCAAUCAACUAACUGUCCGAAAAUCCCUCGUGAAGAUAUGACAAACACAUCUAUUGACUGAAUUCAGAGGCAUCCCUUGGGUCAAAUCUCUUAAAAAUGUCUUGCCUCAACCAAUGGAUAUUUUUCAAUCUCGCUUGCAAACAAUGAAGAUUUUGGUGACUGAAAUAACUCAAGACCGGCCUAUAUGAAGAACCUAGAAAAGGAGAGAACACACGCAACUUCAAUACAUAAGCUCUCUACAUCUUUCUAGUUCUUAGUUAAAACACUAUAUUCUUGAGUUUGCUAGUGUCAUAAAAGAUAGAAGUAGAAAACAGUCAAGAGGUUGUGUCAUGAACUUGGGAAAUAUGCAACUGUACAUCGUUUGUGGUGAAUGAAAGAAAACCACGACUGAUGUAACAAAUUAUCUUUGAAGAACUAAAAGAACCCUUGUGACCCAAAGGAACUAGAUGUAGGUACCACACUGGUAGAUGAACUAGUAUAAAACUCUGUGUCUCAUUUAUUUCUUUUUGCAUAAAUAUUCGUUAUUGUAAUUUUGCUUUAACCU